UACGUAGGGCGCAAGCGUUGUCCGGAAUUAUUGGGCGUAAAGAGCUCGUAGGCGGCUUGUUACGUCGGUUGUGAAAGCCCGGGGCUCAACCCCGGGUCUGCAGUCGAUACGGGCGGGCUGGAGUGUGGUAGGGGAGAUCGGAAUUCCUGGUGUAGCGGUGAAAUGCGUAGAUAUCUGGAGGAACACCGGUGGCGAAGGCGGCAUCCUGGACCGGCAUUGACGCUGAGGCGCGAAAGCCAGGGGAGCAAACGGG
rnacentral:rRNA from 1 species